GUGUCGCUAGUGCAAUUGGUUACCACGCGCCCCCGGAAAGGGUGAAACAAGGGUUCGAUUCCUCUCCGACACA